rnacentral:rRNA from 1 species
GACGAACGCUGGCGGCGUGCUUAACACAUGCAAGUCGAACGCAGUGGCGAACGGGCGAGUAAGGCGUAAUCAACCUGCUCUUCAGACGGGGACAACAGUUGGAAACGACUGCUAAUACCGCAUACUGUAGGAGGGGAUUGCGUCUGAUUACGUAGUUGGAGGGGUAACGGCCCACCAAGGCGAUGAUCAGCAGCCGGGCUGAGAGGAUGAACGGCCACAGUGGGACUGAGACACGGCCCAGACUCCUACGGGAGGCAGCAGUGGGGAAUCUUCCGCAAUGGACGGAAGUCUGACGGAGCAAAGCCGCGUGAGUGAUGACGGCCUUCGGGUUGUAAAGCUCUGUUAAUCGGGACGCGGUACCGGAAUAGAAAGCCACGGCUAACUACGUGCCAGCAGCCGCGGUAAUAC